GUCUCUUUGUUAAUAGAAAUAAAGAGUCGUACCUGCUCGGUGAAUNUAAUUUUAACAGCUGCGGUAUUUUAGCUGUACUAAGGUAGCAUAAUAAUUUGCCUUAUAAAUUGAGGCUAGAAUGAAUGGUUUGACGAAGGUUUAACUGUCUCUAUUUUAUUUAUUAGAAUUUAAUUUUUAAAGUGAAAAAGCUUAAAUAUUUUAAAGGGACGAGAAGACCCUACUGAGCUUAAAUUUAAAAGUUUAUUAUUUGUYAUAGACUUUUAAAAUUUUAAUUGGGGUGAUUAAGGAAUAAUUUNCAAAAGGUAACUUCCUUAAAUAUAAAGUUGUUAGAUUAAUUAACCAAUUUAUAUUGCUUAUAAAAAAGUUACCGUAGGGAUAACAGCGUAAUUUAUUUAAAGAGUUCAUAUUGAAAAAUAAGAUUGCGACCUCGAUGUUGGAUUAAGGUUACCUUAAGGUGCAGCGGCUUUAAUNNNNNAUCUGUUCGAUUUUAAACU
rnacentral:rRNA from 1 species